ACCUGUGUGUAUAUUAGACACCCCGGCCUCCUCACAACCUGUGUGUGUAUUAACACCCCGGCCUCCUCACUACCUGUGUGUGUAUUAGACACCCCGGCCCCCUCGCUACCUGUGUGUGUAUUAACGCCCCGGCCUUCUCACUACCUAUCAACUAUGGCCUGAGUAUGAUAGACUUAUCCAUGGUUUAAACAGAAUAUAUUGUUUUCAACUUUGAAAAUAAGAAUAUGGAAAUCCAGAUGCAGAAAUGUGAGAAGAAAAGAGAGUAAACAGAGUGGAAGGUCAGGUGACCUUGCCUGUCAUGAAUAUGAAGGUCAAGGUGUGUGAAUUGUGAAAUUUCCAAGAGAACCUCACUGAAGCAAAGAAUGGAGAAAGAAUCGCAUUUGGCCCUGGGAGCGUGCAGGGGUGAAUGGUGCAGGAGCUAAAUCUUUAUCAUACCCAGAAAUCAACAGCCACUAUUUGAAAUCAUCUAAAUUCGUGCUGCUAACCUUCAGUGUACACACAAAUCACCUGGGGAUCUUAUUAAAAGCUAGUUUCUGAUUCACUAAAUCUGUGUGAGGUGGAAGUUGAGGGCAGAGAAGCUCCCAAGGGUGUCAAGCUGACCCUGAACCCGACUUUGAGGGUUAAGGUCCCAAAUGGCAUCGCCAGCACCAGGGACAGACACUAAAAUUGUAGAAAUCAUCUCAAGAAAUGAACAGCCUCUAAGUCAGAUGUUGAAUGUGAAAGAAAUCAGGGUGUGUACGUGUGUGUGUGUUUGUGUGUGCACGUGUGUGCCUGUGUUUGUGCAUGUAUGUUUCUAUGUGUGCACAUGUGUGUAUGUGUCU
rnacentral:lncRNA from 1 species